rnacentral:rRNA from 1 species
GAUGAACGCUGGCGGCGUGCCUAAUACAUGCAAGUCGAGCGAACGGACGAGAAGCUUGCUUCUCUGACGUUAGCGGCGGACGGGUGAGUAACACGUGGAUAACCUACCUAUAAGACUGGGAUAACUUCGGGAAACCGGAGCUAAUACCGGAUAAUAUUUUGAACCGCAUGGUUCAAUAGUAAAAGACGGUCUUGCUGUCACUUAUAGAUGGAUCCGCGCUGCAUUAGCUAGUUGGUAAGGUAACGGCUUACCAAGGCAACGAUGCAUAGCCGACCUGAGAGGGUGAUCGGCCACCCUGGAACUGAGACACGGUCCAGACUCCUACGGGAGGCAGCAGUAGGGAAUCUUCCGCAAUGGGCGAAAGCCUGACGGAGCAACGCCGCGUGAGUGAUGAAGGUCUUCGGAUCGUAAAACUCUGUUAUUAGGGAAGAACAUAUGUGUAAGUAACUGUGCACAUCUUGACGGUACCUAAUCAGAAAGCCACGGCUAACUACGUG